rnacentral:rRNA from 1 species
GACGAACGCUGGCGGCGUGCUUAACACAUGCAAGUCGAACGGAAAGGCCCUGCUUUUGUGGGGUUCUCGAGUGGCGAACGGGUGAGUAACACGUGAGUAACCUGCCCUUGACUUUGUGAUAACUUCAGGAAACUGGGGCUAAUACCGGAUAGGAUCUCCUGCUGCAUGGUGGUGGUUGGAAAGUUUCGGCGGUUGGGGAUGGACUCGCGGCUUAUCAGCUUGUUUGUGGGGUAGUGGCUUACCAAGGCUUUGACGGGUAGCCGGCCUGAGAGGGUGACCGGCCACAUUGGGACUGAGAUACGGCGCAGACUCCUACGGGAGGCAGCAGGGGGGAAUAUUGCACAAUGGGCGGAAGGCUGAUGCAGCAAGGCCGCGUGCGGGAUGACGGCCUUCGGGGUGUAAACAGCUGUCGCAUGUGACGAAGCGUGAGUGACGGUAAUGGGUAAAGAAGCACCGGCUAACUACGUG